GACGGAAGGUGCAAGCGUUGCUCGGAAUCACUGGGCGUAAAGGGUGCGUAGGCGGCCGUGCAAGUCUGGCGUGAAAGCCCCGGGCUCAGCCCGGGAAGUGCGCUCGAAACUGCGCGGCUCGAGUGCCGGAGGGGAGAGUGGAAUUCCGCAUGUAGCAGUGAAAUGCGUAGAUAUGCGGAGGAACACCAAUGGCGAAGGCAAUCUCCUGGACCUGCACUGACGCUCAUGCACGAAAGCGUGGGGAGCAAACAGG
rnacentral:rRNA from 1 species